rfam:Homo sapiens chromosome 6, GRCh38 reference primary assembly.
GCCAGGCAUGGUGACUUGUACCUGUAGUCCUACCUACUUGGGAGGCUGAGGUGGGAGGAUCACCUGAGCCUAUGAGGUCAAGGCUGCAGUAUGUUAUGCUCAUGCCUUUGAGUAACCACUGCUCUCCAGCCUGGGCAACAUAGUGAGAUCCCAUCUUUU